rnacentral:rRNA from 1 species
UUCUUUAAUUGGGGGCUGGAAUGAAAGGUUAAUACCAAAGAGAAAGUUUUAUUAAGCGAAUUUGAAAUUAAUUUAGGGGUAAAAAAGCUUUUAUUAACCCUUGGGACGAGAAGACCCUAGAAGCUUUAAAUUUUAUAAUUUUUUAUUGGGGUAAUUUAUGAAGAUUUUAAUUUUUAAAAAUUUAAUUUAAAGAUUAAAGUUACUCUAGGGAUAACAGCGUUAUUUAAUUAGUUAGUUCUUAUAUAUAUUUAAGUUUGCGACCUCGAUGUUGAAUUAAAUUUAAUUUUGGUGAAGGGGCUAAGGAAAUUAGUCUGUUCGACUAUUAAAAAUUUACGUGAUCUGAG